rnacentral:rRNA from 1 species
UGCAGUCGACGGCAGCACGGGUGCUUGCACCUGGUGGCGAGUGGCGAACGGGUGAGUAAUACAUCGGAACAUGUCCUGUAGUGGGGGAUAGCCCGGCGAAAGCCGGAUUAAUACCGCAUACGAUCUACGGAUGAAAGCGGGGGACCUUCGGGCCUCGCGCUAUAGGGUUGGCCGAUGGCUGAUUAGCUAGUUGGUGGGGUAAAGGCCUACCAAGGCGACGAUCAGUAGCUGGUCUGAGAGGACGACCAGCCACACUGGGACUGAGACACGGCCCAGACUCCUACGGGAGGCAGCAGUGGGGAAUUUUGGACAAUGGGCGAAAGCCUGAUCCAGCAAUGCCGCGUGUGUGAAGAAGGCCUUCGGGUUGUAAAGCACUUUUGUCCGGAAAGAAAUCCUUGGCUCUAAUACAGCCGGGGGAUGACGGUACCGGAAGAAUAAGCACCGGCUAACUACGUGCCAGCAGCCGCGGUAAUACGUAGGGUGCAAGCGUUAAUCGGAAUUACUGGGCGUAAAGCGUGCGCAGGCGGUUUGCUAAGACCGAUGUGAAAUCCCCGGGCUCAACCUGGGAACUGCAUUGGUGACUGGCAGGCUAGAGUAUGGCAGAGGGGGGUAGAAUUCCACG